rnacentral:rRNA from 1 species
AUCGCGUGAAAGAAGAAGUAUUAUGGUAUCGUAAACUUCUUUUGUAGAGAGUAAAGUGCACUACGUGUAGUGUAUUGCAAGUACUUUACGAAUAAGCAUCGGCUAAUUCCGUGCCAGCAGCCGCGGUAAUACGGAAGAUGCAAGUGUUAUCCGGAUUUAUUGGGUUUAAAGGGUGCGUAGGUGGUCUAAUAAGUCAGUGGUGAAAUCUCUUUGCUUAACAAGGAAAUUGCCAUUGAAACUGUUAGACUUGAGAAUGGACGAGGUAGGCGGAAUUCGUAGUGUAGCGGUGAAAUGCAUAGAUAUUACGAAGAACUCCAAUAGUGUAGACUGCUUACCAGACCAUAUCUGACACUAAGGCACGAAAGUGUGGGUAUCAAACAGGAUUAGAUACCCUGGUAGUCCACACAGUAAACGAUGAAUACUAACUGUUUGCGAUAUACAGCAAGUGGUCGAGCGAAAGCGUUAAGUAUUCCACCUGGGAAGUAUGCCGGCAACGGUGAAACUCAAAGGAAUUGACGGGGGCCCGCACAAGCGGAGGAACAUGUGGUUUAAUUCGAUAAUACGCGAGGAACCUUACCCGGGCUCGAACGAUAUUUGAAUACAUCCGAAAAGAUGUAGCUAGCAAUAGCAAAUACCGAGGUGCUGCAUGGUUGUCGUCAGCUCGUGCCGUGAGGUGUCGACUUAAGUGUCAUAACGAGCGCAACCCUUACCGAUAGUUACCAUCAGAUAAUGCUGGGGACUCUAUUGGGACUGCCACCGUAAGGUGUGAGGAAGGAGAGGAUGACGUCAAAUCAGCACGGCCCUUAUGUCCGGGGCGACACACGUGUUACAAUGGGAGAAACAAAGGGUCGCUACCUGGCAACAGGAUGCUAAUCUCGAAAAUCUCUCUCAGUUCGGAUUGGAGUCUGCAACUCGACUCCAUGAAGCUGGAUUCGCUAGUAAUCGCACAUCAGCCAUGGUGCGGUGAAUACGUUCCCGGGCCUUGUACACACCGCCCGUCAAGCCAUGGAAGCUGGAAGUACCUGAAGUAUGUAACUGAAAAGAGCGUCCUAAGUAAAUUCA